rfam:Pluralibacter gergoviae strain JS81F13 contig_3, whole genome shotgun sequence.
UUUUCCGUAUUAUAACUUGUAUGAACAAGCCUGUAGCGGAAUGACCAGUUUUGUCUGAACGAUUAUUUAUGCAGCAAUGGCGUAAGACAUUUUUAUCUUUCAGACAGUUAGCGGGCUGCGGGUUGCAGUCCUUACCGGCUAAUACUCUGAACUUCAAGCCGCAGACGGGCGGCGAACCUGGUUCUCCAGGCGCUACUCCAGUAUGUGACUGGAGUCAGCAGGUGAAACGCACCUGCGACUUGAAAAGAGAUGAGUACGGAUGGAACCUUCUCUGGAGACUGUAUCCCAGGCUGUUCCCCCUGAAUAAUUGCGCUGUGUUUCCGUUUGAAACGCAGGCUACCGACACUCUGCGCCUCUUAAGCGAGCGACAACCGUGAGGUUGGCGACGUGAAUAGUCACGAGGCCAUCGGUUUCCCCCCGGCAAGGAAAACUCUGCCCGUAGCUUAGUCGUCAA